GAGCAUCUUGCACCCCGAAGGCUUAUCUGAAGUAUGCGAUGAUGAAAAAGCCCCAAUGCUCGGCUAAAUUGUGUCGUAUAUAGUGUUGCAAAUUUGCUUAGUAUCUUCAACAGCUUAUUUGUGUCAAAAUAACGGCCACAUUU